AUUGAACGCUGGCGGCAGGCCUAACACAUGCAAGUCGAACGGUAACAGGAAGCAGCUUGCUGCUUUGCUGACGAGUGGCGGACGGGUGAGUAAUGUCUGGGAAACUGCCCGAUGGAGGGGGAUAACUACUGGAAACGGUAGCUAUUACCGCAUAACGUCGCAAGACCAAAGAGGGGGACCUUAGGGCCUCUUGCCAUCGGAUGUGCCCAGAUGGGAUUAGCUAGUAGGUGGGGUCACGGCUCACCUAGGCGACGAUCCCUAGCUGGUCUGAGAGGAUGACCAGCCACACUGGGACUGGGACACGGUCCAGACUCCUACGGGAGGCAGCAGUGGGGAAUAUUGCACAAUGGGCGCAAGCCUGAUGCAGCCAUGCCGCGUGUAUGAAGAAGGCCUUCGGGUUGUAAAGUACUUUCAGCGGGGAGGAAGGGAGUAAAGUUAAUACCUUUGCUCAUUGACGUUACCCGCAGAAGAAGCACCGGCUAACUCCGUGC
rnacentral:rRNA from 1 species